rnacentral:rRNA from 1 species
UACGUAGGGGGCUAGCGUUGUCCGGAUUUAUUGGGCGUAAAGAGCGUGUAGGCGGCCAGAUAGGUCUGCUGUGAAAACUCGAGGCUCAACCUCGAGACGCCGAUGGAAACCAUGUGGCUAGAGUCCGGAAGAGGAGAGUGGAAUUCCUGGUGUAGCGGUGAAAUGCGCAGAUAUCAGGAAGAACACCCGUGGCGAAGGCGGCUCUCUGGAACGCAACUGACGCUGAGACGCGAAAGCGUGGGGAGCAAACAGG